CUUUCACAUACAAUGACAGAAGUAAAAAUAUUUAUUUUAUCUUAAAAAUCUGGUCCCGCAAAAAGGCCAACACUUUUUUCAGUUCACGGUCUUGACCUUUCAAAGAAGAAAUCUUUCAACUGAGAGCCAUUCACAGUUCCUGAAGGAGAAAAGAAGUUGUUUGCAGAUAAGGCACUUUAGAAACCACCAAAGAGAAAACCCAAGUCUGCCAGGAGCUGCACUGUGAACAUGUGAGCCGAGAGG
rnacentral:lncRNA from 1 species